GGAAUAUUGGACAAUGGGCGCAAGCCUGAUCCAGCCAUGCCGCGUGAGUGAUGAAGGCCUUAGGGUUGUAUAGCUCUUUCAGUGGGGAAGAUAAUGACGGUACCCACAGAAGAAGCCCCGGCUAACUUAGCGCCAGCAGCCGCGGUAAUACGAAGGGGGCUAGCGUUGUUCGGAUUUACUGGGCGUACAGCGCACGUAGGCGGAUCAUUAGGUCGGGGGUGAAAUCCCGGAGCUCAACUCCGGAACUGCCUUCGAUACUGGCGAUCUAGAGUCCGGAAGAGGUGAGUGGAACUCCUAGUGUAGAGGUGGAAUUCGUAGAUAUUAGGAAGAACACCAGUGGCGAAGGCGGCUCACUGGUCCGGUACUGACGCUGAGGUGCGAAAGCGUGGGGAGCAAAC
rnacentral:rRNA from 1 species